GCUGUAUUGGCAGAAUAAUUGCAUUAGAUUUAGGAUCUAAACCAUAUAGAGGUUUCUAUAUAUAGCA
rnacentral:tRNA from 1 species